AUACGGAGGAUCCGAGCGUUAUCCGGAUUUAUUGGGUUUAAAGGGUGCGCAGGCGGCCAUUUAAGUCAGCGGUUAAAUCGUGGGGCUCAACCCCAUUCUGCCGUUGAUACUGGGUGGCUUGACUGCGGUCGAGGUUGGCGGAAUUCGUUGUGUAGCGGGGAAAUGCAUAGAUAUGACGAAGAACACUGAUUGCGUAGGCAGCUGACCAGACCGCAAAUGACGCUCAUGCACGAAAGUGCGGGGAUCGAACAGGAUUAGAUACCCUGGUAGUCCGCACAGUAAACGAUGAAUACUUGUUUUCGGCGAUAUAAUGUCGGAGGCAAAGCGAAAGCGAUAAGUAUUCCACCUGGGGAGUACGCCGGCAACGGUGAAACUUAAAGGAAUUGACGGGG
rnacentral:rRNA from 1 species